rnacentral:rRNA from 1 species
GUGUCAGCCGCCGCGGUAAUACGUAGGUGGCAAGCGUUGUCCGGAUUUACUGGGCGUAAAGGAUGUGUAGGCGGAUAUUUAAGUGAGAUGUGAAAUCCCCGGGCUUAACUUGGGGGCUGCAUUUCAAACUGGAUGUCUUGAGUGCAGGAGAGGAAAGUAGAAUUCCUAGUGUAGCGGUGAAAUGCGUAUAGAUUCGUACAAAUACCAGUGGCGAAGGCGGCUUUC